ACAAUGCAAGAGGACAACAUACAAGCUGGAUAUAAGAUAGUGCAAAUACAGAGACUGCAAAUAAAUCUCGGCACUGCAGAGUAAGCCUGGCUGACUCUUCAUCUGAAAUAUGAAGUAAUCUGUGUUUGAAAAUGAGGGGAAUCAUUUGAGUGACUAAAGGCUGCACAGGGAGAGAGUGAGACUCAGAGAGCUAUUUGUGUGGGUUUGGUAGGGGGAUCAUGUUUUCCUAUAACUGAGCCAGAAUAACUUGACUGACCUCUACUUGUAUUGUCCAAGUCCAGGGACCUUUUAUAUAUGUGAUGUGCCGGAUGUCAUAGAAACCAAAUAAGCAGCCCCUGGGAUUGGCCAGUCGGACAGGAUCAUCCGUUGCCCUGGUCAGUGAGAAGUGCUGAGUGGACCCUCCUUUUAAAAAGCCCCCCCCUCCCCUCCCUGCGCGCCCCCUCCCCCAUCCCCCACACUCCCGCCCAGGGAGUUCACGGCCUCCUAUUAUUUAACAGAUUUGUUUUUGCAUCCUGGUUGAACUUUCUAGUGUGGGGCGUAAAAAACUCUGUUAGGGAUCAUAUAUGUACCUUUGCGGAAAAGCGGGGGGCAUAACCUGACAAAUGUGCGGGGUCAAUUGGUUUCCUAAGGGCACGCUACUGAGAAGCUGGCUCACCAAGUCCCGGCCCAGACUGCUGCUGCUCAUCGCGGGCUUGAAGAGGCCUCAGGUGACGCUCAUGAGGAGGAAAAGGAUGAAGCGCACCAAAGUAGCAAAGGCCACGUAAGCGGUAAAUAUGGCUACCUGUUGCAAUAACCUGCAAUCGAAUGCCACAUUUCACUUGAGAUCUUGGCCCGAAGACUGACCCUACCUGGAUUUAACAUGGAAGACAACACGGAAGAACUAAGAUUUCAAACUCUGCAGACUCAACGGACUAAAAACAAAAGUCAACAGAGGAGGGCUGUGAAACAUGUUAAAACAAGGGAUCGACCACAGAAAUCCAAACCUCCUGAUUAAUGGAGAUGUACUCGCCCAAACUCCAAUCUUUUCCAAAGGCCAUUUGUACAUCUCCUCUCUUUAAAAUACACAUCUGUUAUGGUUCAUUAUCCUUCCGUGAGUGUGUCUGUACAUUAUUUACAUUUCAAGUCACACUUGAACACUUGAAAUUGUUUAUCCAAAUGACUUCUAUGCCUGUGACCUCUGGUCCAUACUUUUCUGGCCAGAGCAUUUCUCUUUUUUUCUGAUUUGUUCCAAGUGACUGUGUUUGAGUGCAUGGAGGAAAAAAUAUCAAAACAGCUGAAAAAAAAAAAAACAGCACUCAUCCAUCGGGCUAGUAGCAAGUAAACCAAAUAGAAUUGAAAUAGAAUUACAAUACAAUUUAAGGGGUCAACCAAAACAAUUACAAGAAAUGAAUCCGGCAAAGUAGACACAAAGCUGAGAGAUUGCAGAUUAUUAUUAAAGCAUUAAAGAUCAAAGCAGAACUAUGCUUGACUCUUAGUAGUGUGCAGAUUGGAGUAUGAUAGAAAACAGAAUUUUGACUUUAGAAACAGAAUUGGAUCUGAAUUGAAAAAUUUAAGAGAACAAAAGUUGUGCCAUUAACCCAAUAAUUAUAUCUGAGGAUUAAUGUGUAGGUGACACUAAAUAAAGAUUCAUUUGACAUCAUUAAUUUUAUUUCAGGUAAAUUAGACAAAAAUAAGAAGUUAAGUUUAUGCUAUAAUGCCCAGCAUGGACAAGUGCUCUAAGUUUUGUGCUAUUGAGCACCAAGAAUUGAAGAAGCUUGCACGGGUUGAAAGUUUACACAUGAGAAAUUUUAUACCAUAAAAAAAAAAUUGUUUUUGUGUU